AUUGAACGCUGGCGGCAGGCCUAACACAUGCAAGUCGAGCGGAUGAAGGGAGCUUGCUCCUGGAUUCAGCGGCGGACGGGUGAGUAAUGCCUAGGAAUCUGCCUGGUAGUGGGGGAUAACGUCCGGAAACGGGCGCUAAUACCGCAUACGUCCUGAGGGAGAAAGUGGGGGAUCUUCGGACCUCACGCUAUCAGAUGAGCCUAGGUCGGAUUAGCUAGUUGGUGGGGUAAAGGCCUACCAAGGCGACGAUCCGUAACUGGUCUGAGAGGAUGAUCAGUCACACUGGAACUGAGACACGGUCCAGACUCCUACGGGAGGCAGCAGUGGGGAAUAUUGGACAAUGGGCGAAAGCCUGAUCCAGCCAUGCCGCGUGUGUGAAGAAGGUCUUCGGAUUGUAAAGCACUUUAAGUUGGGAGGAAGGGCAGUAAGUUAAUACCUUGCUGUUUUGACGUUACCAACAGAAUAAGCACCGGCUAAUUUCGUG
rnacentral:rRNA from 1 species